rnacentral:rRNA from 1 species
GACGAACGCUGGCGGCGUGCUUAACACAUGCAAGUCGAACGAAGUGGCGAACGGGUGAGUAACGCGUAAUCAACCUGCCCUUCAGAGGGGGACAACAGUUGGAAACGACUGCUAAUACCGAAUACUGAAGGAGGGGAAUGCGUGUGAUUAGCUAGUGGGAGGGGUAACGGCCCACCAAGGCGAUGAUCAGUAGCCGGUCUGAGAGGAUGAACGGCCACAUUGGGACUGAGACACGGCCCAGACGCCUACGGGAGGCAGCAGUGGGGAAUCUUCCGCAAUGGACGAAAGUCUGACGGAGCAACGCCGCGUGAGUGAUGACGGCCUUCGGGUUGUAAAGCUCUGUUGUAAGAGAAGCGGUAUCUGACCAGAAAGCCACGGCUAACUACGUGCCAGCAGCCGCGGUAAUAC